AACGUAGGAGACAAACGUUAUCCGGAGUUACUGGGCGUAAAGGGCGUGUAGGUGGUUUCGUAAGUCUGGCGUGAAAUUUUUCGGCUUAACCGGGAAAGGUCGUCGGAUACUGCGGAACUAGAGGACAGUAGAGGCGUGUGGAAUUCCGGGUGUAGUGGUGAAAUGCGUAGAGAUCCGGAGGAACACCAGUGGCGAAGGCGACACGCUGGGCCGUACCUGACACUGAUGCGCGACAGCAUGGGGAGCAAACAGG
rnacentral:rRNA from 1 species